rnacentral:rRNA from 1 species
UACGAAGGGGGCUAGCGUUGCUCGGAAUCACUGGGCGUAAAGCGCGCGUAGGCGGCCCGGUAAGUCCGCUGUAAAAGUCCAGGGCUCAACCCUGGAAAGCCGGUGGAUACUGUCGGGCUAGAGUCCGGAAGAGGCGAGUGGAAUUCCUGGUGUAGCGGUGGAAUGCGUAGAGAUCCGGAAGAACACCGGUGGCGAAGGCGGUUGGCUGGGCCGUUGCUGACACUGAUGCGCGACAGCGUGGGGAGCAAACAGG